rnacentral:rRNA from 1 species
CGUGCUAAUCUGCGAUAAGCGCCGGUAAGGUGAUAUGAACCGUUAUAACCGGCGAUACCCGAAUGGGGAAACCCAGUGUGACUCGUCACACUAUCAUUAACUGAAUCCAUAGGUUAAUGAGGCGAACCGGGGGAACUGAAACAUCUAAGUACCCCGAGGAAAAGAAAUCAACCGAGAUUCCCCCAGUAGCGGCGAGCGAACGGGGAGGAGCCCAGAGCCUGAAUCAGCAUGUGUGUUAGUGGAAGCGUCUGGAAAGGCGCGCGAUACAGG